UUCAACUCAAUAUUGUAUUUUGAUCUGGGUCAUCAUAACACUCAAACUUUGUAAAGCUCAGUUAAAAAAGACAUAACAGUAAAAAUUUGUCAGGGGCUAUAAAUAGUUUAGAUGUCUAAAUAAGUUUUUUGGGUUUAAAAUGUGUUACUGAAAAAUAGAAUGAGAUAUUUGCUGACCAUGUUUGGUAUCCCAAUGGGAAUGAAUAGUAUUUCCACUGAUAAUAAGCAUCUAUGGGGGCAGAUGAUGUGAAGUUCAUCUAUUUUUAUGGCUGACAAUUAACUAGGGUAUCAUGUGGUCAGCACAAGACCAAUCACCUUUCCUUUCCCUAACUAAUUUCAGGUAACCAUUUUUGGUUGGAGUCAAUGGCAUCCAAACCCCCCCCCCCUGAAGUUCAAAAUCCCAGUCUUCACUAAGAUUAUAACAAGGACCCUUCGUUCAGAAGCUAAGUGCUUCACCACUCAACCACCAAAUAGCUGUGCAAACAUAUCAAGCUGAAGGUCCAGAAGUGUUAAGUGUUUGUGUAGAAUUAAUCAAAUAAACUUCAAUUUGUUUUCACUUGGUUGGUUUGGAAUUAGUUGAUGUUGUUCUAUCAUAUUUGAAGGCAUGUCACAAUUAGCGAAUUAAACACUGAAUGCCAUCACUAAUAGUCAUAACAAAAAACCAAAUAGAAAACACAAAUCUACAACUAAAAAAAAAAGUUAAAAACCAUGUUUAAAACUUUAAUGAUCUGUAUUGGAAACAAAAUUCACAUAUUCAAAAGCUUUUCUACAACCAGAAGAAAAUAGAUUCAAUAUAACAAACAAAACUGGAUUAGCGUUAGCAAGAAAAAGGACACAGUACAAGCUAGUAAGGAGAAAUAUCUGAAACAAACAAAACUAUUGGUUGAAAAUGCCAUGAUCAGUAGAACUACAAGUAGCUUUUCUUAGCUAGUUAUGGAGAUGAGGGACAGAACCUAUAUAGUUACAACAUAUAAACAAGACAUUUAUCUAUACAGCUGACUGAUUUCAUUAGACUAGAUUGACAACAGCCAUUUGAUCUGGAUGGACUUGGGUCAAUGGAUGAAAGGAAGGAUUACUUGAUACUGAAGCAAAACUAGUUUCCUCUUAGUUUUCUCAUUCACCUCAAACAGACUUGACAUUCUCUUCAACACAUUGGUCUCAAAGUCAAACUAAAAGCCAAGCACUGUACAUUACUAGCCACACAAGAAAUAUACUAUCAGCACAAGUUUUUAAAUAUUGAAAAUAAAAUGCACUAAAUAUACUUCUUAUAAAACUAAACAUAUUAUCCUAAAAUCUAUUAAUUUUAGAUCUUAAUUAUUAUAAUGACCUAAAUGUACAAAUUUUAUUAAAUAAAAAAAAAAUGAUAAAGGUGCAAUAUCAGCUAUAAGAAACACAUAUUAUCCUAAAAUCUAUUAAUUUUAGAAUUUAAUUAUUAUAAUGACCUAAAUGUAAAAAUUUUAUUAAAUAAAAAAAAAUGAUGAAGGUGCAAUAUCUGCUAUAAGAAACACAUAUCAUCCUAAAAUCUAUUC